rnacentral:rRNA from 1 species
AUUGAACGCUGGCGGCAGGCCUAACACAUGCAAGUCGAGCGGAUGAGAAGAGCUUGCUCUUCGAUUCAGCGGCGGACGGGUGAGUAAUGCCUAGGAAUCUGCCUGGUAGUGGGGGACAACGUUUCGAAAGGAACGCUAAUACCGCAUACGUCCUACGGGAGAAAGCAGGGGACCUUCGGGCCUUGCGCUAUCAGAUGAGCCUAGGUCGGAUUAGCUAGUUGGUGAGGUAAUGGCUCACCAAGGCGACGAUCCGUAACUGGUCUGAGAGGAUGAUCAGUCACACUGGAACUGAGACACGGUCCAGACUCCUACGGGAGGCAGCAGUGGGGAAUAUUGGACAAUGGGCGAAAGCUUGAUCCAGCCAUGCCGCGUGUGUGAAGAAGGUCUUCGGAUUGCAAAGCACUUUAAGUUGGGAGGAAGGGCAGUAAGAUAAUACCUUGCUGUUUUGACGUUACCGACAGAAUAAGCACCGGCUAACUCUGUGCCAGCAGCCGCUGUAACAC